AAUACCAGAAACGAACAUUUCGAUAGCUGGCGUGCCAGAGUGUGUAUGGCAGUCGCACAAGGUUAAUAAGUUUUCGGUAAAAUUGGUGAAACCUUUUCUCCUUGAAGACAUGCCCCGAAAGUUUGAUUGAGCAGUUCAAUCAGGGACACUGAUUCCUGGGGGUCUGGAGCGAAUAUUUUGGGGUUUAAGGAUUUUCGUAAUCGGAGGUGUUCCUACGUGAGCCUAGUUGACUGUCUAGCUACUUAUUUAGACGUAAAUUUGCUGGAAUGGCGCACCAAUUUGACUAGAGAGCGCUUUACGAAGCUGCCCUCCUCAGAGUUGAUGGCCACAAUUUUCCAACUAACUCCAGAACCAUCAGAGCACAUGAGCCUUAGUUGGAGCGAAAUCCAGAGCCCCAAAAAUUGCUACUGAGGUUCAUCAGAAGGACGUUAAUAAAUUUUAAUUAGUCGACGGUUGAAAGCACCAAAUAAGGGUACCAGUAAAAGGUUUCUUUCUUCCAUGCAAAUAAAAUACACGUUUAA